rnacentral:rRNA from 2 species
UCCUACGGGAGGCAGCAGUGGGGAAUUUUCCGCAAUGGGCGAAAGCCUGACGGAGCAAUACCGCGUGAGGGAGGAAGGCUCUUGGGUUGUAAACCUCUUUUCUCAGGGAAGAAUAAUGACGGUACCUGAGGAAUAAGCAUCGGCUAACUCCGUGCCAGCAGCCGCGGUAAUACGGAGGAUGCAAGCGUUAUCCGGAAUUAUUGGGCGUAAAGCGUCUGUAGGUGGAUAUUCAAGUCUGCUGUCAAAGCCCGGGGCUUAACCCUGGAAAGGCAGUGGAAACUGAAGAUUUAGAGUGCGGUAGGGGCAGAGGGAAUUCCCAGUGUAGCGGUGAAAUGCGUAGAGAUUGGGAAGAACACCGGUGGCGAAAGCGCUCUGCUGGGCCUGCACUGACACUGAGGGACGAAAGCUAGGGGAGCGAAUGGGAUUAGAUACCCCAGUAGUCCUAGCCGUAAACGAUGGAUACUAGGCGUAGCUUGUAUCGACCCAAGCUGUGCCGUAGCUAACGCGUUAAGUUCCCGCGUGGGAUAACCCCACCGGGG